UGCCACAGUUGUUGCGUUAGUUCAGCAGUGAACUGAGUACCCCUGUUGGAUAGGAUCUCCCUAGGGAAUCCUACCCGAGAGAAUACUCGUACUAAGGCGUUAGCUACGGUGUCCGCCUGAAUAUUGGAUAGAGCCACUGCCACUGCGGGUAGCAUAAUAAACCACGGUAAGAAUGUAUCUCUUUCUGGAUGGACUAGGGGUGGUGAGGGGCCCUACUAGGUCGAUGGCUACCCGGCUAAAAGGUUCCUCUAUAAUGGGCAUGUUCACGAGGUGUGCCUUAGGGUGGUCUCCCCUCUUGCCUACCCAUUGGCAUACAUCACAUGUGUUGCAGUAUGUGCGCACAUCUGCAUGUACCCCUGGCCAGAAGAGCGUAUGGGUGAUCCGUUUGAGGGUACGGGUCACUGCUAAAUGUCCGGCUCAUGGGAUGUCAUGACCCACUCUGAGUAUAUCUCGUCUAUACUUGUGGGGAAUGACUAGCUGCCUCCUAUGGUUGCCUUUCUUUUCGGUAAGUCUGUAUAGUCUGCCCUGUUCCCAUGCGAAUGUCUCUUGGUCUAAUCCCCCAGUCCCUGUAUUGGCUCUUUCUCUAUAUUUCUGCAGGGUCGGGUCGGUUUUAGUUUCAGCCUCAAAGGCUGCAGGGGUAUCCCAGGGUAAUGGGGACGGGUGGUUAGUCAGUCGGGUUUGGUCUUACCUGAGUCUCCAG